rnacentral:rRNA from 1 species
AGUGAACGCUGGCGGCAGGCCUAAUACAUGCAAGUCGAACGGCAGCACAGUGGAGCUUGCUCCAUGGGUGGCGAGUGGCGGACGGGUGAGGAAUACAUGGGAAUCUGCCCAGUCGUGGGGGGAUAACGUAUGGAAACGUACGCUAAUACCGCAUGCGCCCUUCGGGGGAAAGUCGGGGGACCGCAAGGCCUGACGCGAUUGGAUGAGCCCAUGUUCGAUUAGCUAGUUGGCGGGGUAACGGCCCACCAAGGCGACGAUCGAUAGCUGGUCUGAGAGGAUGAUCAGCCACACUGGAACUGAGACACGGUCCAGACUCCUACGGGAGGCAGCAGUAGGGAAUAUUGGACAAUGGGGCGCAAGCCCUGAUCCAGCCAUGCCGCGUGAGUGAAGAAGGCCCUCGGGUUGUAAAGCUCUUUUGUUGGGGAAGAAAAGCAGUUGGUUAAUACCCGAUUGUUCUGACGGUACCCAAAGAAUAAGCACCGGCUAACUUCGUGCCAGCAGCCG